UAGGGUUGUAGUUGUUGAUAGGGUUGUAGUUGUUGACAGCCCUAUCAACAACUACAACCCUAUCAACAACUACUAUCCUAU
rnacentral:pre_miRNA from 1 species